ACUAAUGUGGCAGAUUAGUGCAUUAAAUUUAAAAUUUAAUUAUGGAUUUACCCUUUAGU
rnacentral:tRNA from 1 species